AACAAAACAGAUCUUUAAUCUUAGAAGUGCCAAAAAAGAGAAAAGGACCCAUAUUCCCUCUGGGACCGGGUAGACUCGAAAUGGUUUUACAGCCCAUUUUAAAAAUAUGUGCUAGUGUCAAAGAAACCCAGCUGCACUGAAAUGAUAAACAUGACAUGGGAUGCUUCAGACUGUGGAUGACCUCUUCAAGACACAGGAGUGAGUAUUGACUUCUCAGGCAAGAGAGAGCAGCAAUUCUGACACCCUAGGGUCUUCCUGCAUUGUUCUAGAACACUUCCAGGCAGUUAACUGGUUUCAGAAAUAAAUACAAAAAUUCAGAGGAUGUCAAAACCAGCAUGAAGAUCCGCACGCUGAUCUUACGAAAUAGAGAGUAGAGACAAAGAGGCCGAGGGCUCCUGGUAGGGACUCCGCAGCUGACAGCAGUUGAACAUGGCAGGUUUCCAGGAAUGAGAAGAACAGCUGGAGAAACUGAAUGCUGUGCUUCUUUGGUGGGAGGAAAUUCUCUGUACUGCAAUAUUAGUACUCACUGCCUGUUGCGGUCACCAAGCACUGUCAUCAAGGAGCUUUCAAGGGGCUGUAAGGAAAUGGGAUGUACUGGAGCUCUCACGCUUGAGCUAUUCAAGUCCUGAAGGCAUUCUCCUUUCAGGGCUGUAAUCUUAUGAUCAGGGUUGAAGACUCAUGGAUUGGAGCAACUUGGAAGAAACUUGUAUUGUGUUAAGGAAUGGGAUGCCAGAGUACUCAUCCAAAGGCAAUGAAGUAAGAAAAAAUAGAUGGGAUACUGGCACAGGCUGCUUUGAUGAAACAUGAAGAAAAAUUGGCUUUUAAAAUGUUAUCCUCUGUGCAGAAAGACAUUGCCAAUGGUUCCAGCUGAUCUGUUGCCUUUGCAAUUGCUAUCUGGCUGUCAAGUAGAAGUCGGUAGAAGAAUGUGCUGCAACAGCAUGGAGAGACUGGAAAGGCAUCCCACAGGCUGACAGCAUGUGAUGCCCACCUACCUCCUCUACAAUUGUCCAUGCCACGAUACAGGACAUGGGAAAAUUCUUUUGAAAUAUUACCCUGUUGCCUGAAUCCGUACUGCUCCUGACUGUCUGCCAGCUCCCAGAUUAAAUGGAUUGGGACUGAGCCUAAGAAGAUGGAACGGAAGAAAAAGAAGUAUGGUACCAGUUGGAAGGAGGAUGCACCAAAUACCUGAUUGCUGGAGAGGAGGUCUGAGCAGCUCCCUGUUCCCACUCCUCAUCUCCCAGGGCUGGCAGCAUCGAGGCUCUGAGGACAGCAGAGGAUGCUCAGGUACAGCAGGAGUGGGGUCGUUCAGCUCAGCUAAUUAGUGCUACUAUUUCUGUCUCUAGCCUUUUCUCGGUUGUAUCCAUCUGGGGCUCUUUCAGUCAUAAUAGAGCUUUCCACCCUCUUGUUUUUUUCCUCUCUCCUCCUCUGUGUUCCCGAUUUUUGCCACUGUUUCAUGUUGCUGUCCAAAUUAUUUGUCUCUUCUCUCUUGCUCCGGUCGUGGGAACAUUAGUAAUGUUAUUCUGCAGAGCAGGGUGGCAUAGACACCGCCUUGCAGACCUGACAGCCAUCCUAGUGCUGCUGGCAAAGGCUGGAGCAGCUCAAGCGGCUGAUGGGAAAUUAUCCUGUUUAUGGUUCAUCACCAUCUGAUCUACCCACUGCUUCUUGCUCCUGCCUGGGCCCAAAUGUGCCGCUGCCGUGGCUGUGCGCGGGAUGCAGUCCCGCUCUCUGCUCCCCGCUCUCCUGCUGCAGCCGCCCUGCGUGUGGGGCGAAGGGAAGCAUGACUCACAUGGGCCUCCCACCCGUGAGUAACUGUGUUGGUCUAUCACGUCUCAGCCAGCUGGGGCAGCUCGGAGGGAGGGCGGCUGCUUCCUUGGCGAGGCAUGAAAUAGGUCACUCCGUCCCCAGAACAUGGGUGAACACAGGGGACCAAGAUUGCAAUGAGCAGUCUCACAUCAGAUGCAGGAGCAGCCCUCUGUGACUGGGGGGCAGGCAAAGAGGUACACAGACACGGGCUGCAGGGAUUGCUGUUAACUAUGAGUUAUUCCUUCUUCCUUGCCCAAACCUAGUCCUUUAUCUCCUGGGAAAUGAGCAGGGAGAGUCCAAAGCCAGUGAGGAAAGACAGGCAGAGAUGGUGGGAACACAAAGCAGUUAUGUGCUUCUCAGGGUGGAAAGAGGCCCAGGUUAUUAAAUAGCAGGCAAUUUUAACAUGAGUUAUUAAUACUAGUUGUUUGUACUGGGAAGUGGUGCCUAGGGGCUCCCAUUGCACUAAUCAUGUAACAAAGCUGUGUUCCUAACACAAAUAGCUUGUGUUUCAGCCUGAAGAGAACAAGUUGUCUCCUUCCCAUUGCCCUCUCUUUGAAAAAGCAGCUCGACGAUUACACAGUCAAGCCCACAAAUACUGGGAAAGGAAAAAAAUUACACUGGGCUGCCCUACAGUGCCAUUGCCUACAUCCAGCCAGACCAAUAACUCCAUCAGUACUGUGGGCCACACUGUCUGCUCUUCAUCUCUGACCAUGGCAGGACAGGUCUUAACAUUAUUGGGGAUUUUUGUGUUGCCCAUCUUUGGAUUUGAGUGUAGUAAUGUCAUGCCACCUGUUUAGGGUACUGGGGGGCUGUGGAGAGUUUUCUCCUUUUCUAAUUGAUGGUGUAUAUCUCUGUUGUAUUUUUUUUCAGGCUUUACAAACUGCAAUUCUCUCUUGGGUACGUGUCCUUCUGAAGUAAGAAACCAAUUUAAUGAAUUAAAUUAAUUCAUUUGCAGCCUUGGCACCAAAGCACAGACUAAAGGUCAACAGCAUCUGCUGAUUUUGGAUGGUAGAAACCAUGACUGCCCUGCUAUUUUUUGUUGUCCUGAGAACUUGGCAUUAAACUGAGCUUUACCACAUGGCAACACAGGUCCUACUUUCUCUGGCAGCAGCUUUGAAUAUGCAGCUUUUCAUCAGUUCAAUCCCAGGUUAGGCUGCAGGACCAGGAAUGUGACCUGGAGCCCCAGCUCUUCACCGAGCAGUCCCCAGCCCUGGAAAUGCCGUAACCUUGGUGCAUGACCUUGCACUGUCUGGCAGCAGCUUCAUCUGCAGCCUCAACACAGCACACAACUAGUGUGCUGAACAGGACAGUGGGGCCUUUGGCAUCUCCUGCCCUCUUGACAUUCAUCCUGAAGUAGAUCCAGCUGGUGGAGGAGAUACAGCUGGGAUAUGAUCAUGCAGGGGCUGGUUAAAGGUAGAGGUAGUGGUGCAAGUUUGGAGCAAAGAGCAAAGAGGGGCUGUCAGUCCAGGUGGGGUCCCUUAUGGCAGCAGGUGUGUAAUGCUGAUCAUGCUUGUUUAGCACGAUACUCUGCACACGUGCAUGUGUUCAGGACUUUAUGCGUUAGCUUGUAAGAAGUGGGAGUUCCUCACCUCCCACUAUCUGCAGGCGGCUGGUAAGGCUCAGAAAUGCCUUGAUCAGUUCUAAGCCCCUGACAGCCAUGAUCCGUGGUCAGCAUGGAUCCUGCUACCGACUCCCCAGUCCCCACAGGCCUGCUCAUUUCUCUGCUGGUCUAUCAUGUCUUUGUCUCAGUGUUGUUCCACUCCUGCUGCUGACCUCCUGUUGGCCGAAGUUGUGGAAAGCCACUGUCACACACACCCAACCCCCAAAGUGAGCUGAGGCUGAAGUACUGCCAAAUUCUGGGAGAAUUUUGGAUUGCAGCAUAUAAGGUAAGGCACCAUGGCCCCCAUCCACCUCCUUUUCAAACUGCAGGGUCUCCUUCACCCCCACCAGUCCACUCCCAGGUUUCUCCUGCCUCAUUGGCUUCUCAGCUGGGCAAGCUUUAGGCUUUAGCUCUCCAUUCUACCCUUUGUCCUUCCUCAGGCCUGUGCCAAAUGACAAAAACUUAGUAAUGGUAAACAACAAAACACAAUGAAACAGGACAGACACACAAAAGAAAAGAAGUUAACAUGAGCAAGUGACAAUGCAAAGUUACCUCCCACCACCUGUUAAAUGGCUCGCCUAUUUUGGCUGAGCAAGGACUAAGGCAGAAGCUGAGCACUGGGUGUUGCCAAGGUAUCAGCAAUGGAAACAAAAGGCCUCGAAAUGGGAACAGCUCAGACACCUUAAGACCAAGCAGUGCUACAACAUUUUCUAUACUGCUUGCCAUCACUAGCUUGACAUCAUCCAUAACAAGUGUGCUCAACAGGAGCACUCAUUAAUUAUGCCCAGUUUUGAAGAUAACUGUGUCUAGUUCUUUGCAGAUCAUGCUGUAACCCACCUGAGUGGACAUCUACAGAUUAACCCAGACAGAGGAACUUUUCUUUCUCCUUCCCAUGCUUUUUCAUGGGUGGGGCAAGCCUUUGUGAGACACCCUUGGCAAGCAAGGGAUGAGAACACAGCCCCCAUACAACAGCCCAAAGUUUAGCACAACUUGGCUUUGGGCUCUGAACUGACUGUUCCUGCAGCAGAGUUAACCAGGUCAGUCUCUCUCCUCCCUUCAAAUACUUAAUCUGUGUGACAGAGCAUUUUCACUUAUUUUUCCACCCAACACCCAUCAGCCAUUUUUCUGUAGCGAGAGGGUAAACACCCUGUUUUGUUUUCCCAUCUGUAUUUAAACUGUGAAUGGAGUGAAGCAACAGGCUGGGAAGCAGAAAGAGGAAAGCAGAUCUCAGUGGAAGCGAUAC